UGAACAAAUGAGGAGCUCUCUCGACUCUUCUCCCCCACUCUUCUCCACCUCUCCCACGAGCUCCCCAAUCGACUCCCUCCCUACCCAAUUUCCAUCUCCACCGCCUCCCCUGAAGCUCCUCUAGCGUAUCCGACGGAUUCGCCACUCAGGCGGUCCGCCGCGAUGGUAGGGAUGACCCACAGAUCCUGCGCCUGCGUCUCCGAGGGGUUCGCUGGUUCUGCCGUCCGACGGCACGGCCAUGGGCUGAUGCGUCGCGAAACCGUACCUUGAGGAGCAGCGUCCGCGUCGCCUCACGUACGUGGGCGCCAGACCGAAGGGUUCCGACGUCGGAGGGAGAUGGCCGUCAAGCGCCUAGCCGUGUCGCGGGGAGUCCACGGCUCCGCGCCAGCUAGGAGGGGUGCUCCUGCGACAAGAUGGUGAGAGGCCCGCCGAGCGAGGCCAACCCUGCUGCUGGUCUCCGGCGGACCAGCCGAUGAGAUCCGACAGGAUGUGCCACGGCGCCCUCCAUCCAGCCCACCAUGCGCCUCGCUGCCCCCAGCUCGCCCGAUCUGAUGUAUGAUCGUCGCACCAGCAACUCGCUCAUAGGAGGCGGCCGCGGGGUAAGUUACCACCGGCGGCGACGGCAUAGGAUAGGGGCAAGAAGGUCAGGGGUGGAGCCGCUGGAGGGAAGGUCGACUGGCUGGGCUCGGUCACCGCGUUUGGCUCCGCCUCUGCCGAGAAGAGAAUGAUGGGCGGCGCGGCGAGGGGGGCGAAACUGCUGCAUCUUGCAUAUUCUGAACAUCAGCGACGAGUCACCGUAUGUUCGCCACUUCCAGCUGCUUCGUCUUUGCGGUCGCCCUCAGCCCCUCGCGAAUGGUUUCGAGUUCCCGGACUUCCCGUGUGAGGACAGCCGUCGCUCGGACGCGCUGCUGCGUGCGUGCGCAACAACAUCUAACACGGAUCUGAAGUCAUAUUCACGGAUCGGGAAAUUCUAAUGUGACAUAUUUAAAGAAUUUGGACAUGUUGGCUUCGAGAUCUUUUUUUCUCCUCGAGGCCUAACAUUUGUCCUGUUCUACGCAGCUUCCGGGUAUGCUAAAGAUUGAUCUUGUGAGGUUUCUUGAGCUUCUGUUCGGGCGUUUCUAUUCAGCCUAAUGCAAAUUUGUUUUGCUGAUUUUAGACCUGGCAAGUAGUAAGGUAUAAGGCUCCUAGCAGUCCGAAGAUUGUGCCGCACUGUUGUUAAGGCUUGAUUUGUUUAUCAUCAACACAUGAGACAAGAUAAGAAACGUAUUUGUCAAUUCGUUGGAGCACGAGCCACACGGCUGUUCUCUUCAUUUGGUUCCGCGAAUCUUGGUCUUCCGAGCAAAGGUUGCAUACACCUUAUAAGUUUCCUAAGUAGGGAAAGUUAUUUCAAUCUUACUUCCACUGCAUAUCCAUUAUUAUUAGCAGAUGGAAAUGCAAUAGCAUGAAACAUAUGUAACCACUCUCACAUUCUAACCCAAUCAUAAUGCUAGGCAAGUAAGAUAAGUUGUUCAGUUUUUUGAUUGAACUAUAGAUAUCUGUGAUAGCUUGGUCUCUUUUUUACAGCAGGCAUGGGUAUCUCAGGGAUAAGAAGUCUUUAUUUUAGUCUCACUUGAAGUGAAAUUUCUUCACAUUGCCAUUAAGUGCCUCUUUUCCUUACUUUCCCACUGUAAGCAAGCUAGGCAUUGUUAGUUUUUCUGCAGUAACUCCAUAGAUGAACCAUCUAUAAUAUUUGUUAUUCAACGCAUAAAUUGGUAAUCGGGUUGCUCAUCUGUUGCAUCGCUAUUCAGUCUAUGUUAUUGAUCGCUCUUUUGACUGUCGCACCUUUUCCUUCUACAAUUCACAGACAUUCUCAUGUAUCACUGUGUUCCGUGUAGGAGUUAAGCCUUGGGAUCAUAAGUGCCUCAAAGGGAGCAUCAGGAACAAGCUGUCGAGGGUAAUGAAGGGGUAAUUUCCGUGGGGGGUAUAGAUUUAACUAUUGUGUGCAUUGUCAGUUAUGGCGUUGGUUAUGUUUCCUCUUCUGGUCAACGGCGGAACAAAAUUUCUACUUUAUUGUUCUCCUAUUCCAAGAUUUUUCUUCGGUCAAAUGCUCUCUAAUUUUCUUUGUAAAGAUUAAUUUACUAUCAAAUCUUGCAUGCCAUUAUUCUUACAGUAGGCAGCCGACAACAAAUGCGCAAGGCUGUGAUAUGCUCUCAUCACUCAGGAAUUUCUAUCGAGGAACUUUAAAUGUUUACCAAAAGAAGCGAGUUCACGUUUCGCCCAUUCUAUUCCUUUUUCUCUGUUGUAAUCAAAAGUUUUAAGACUAUUUUGUUCUCCAACAAUUUAGAGCCUAUACAGUAAAUGAUCCAUAUCUCAGAUCACAACUUAUAUUUUACUGAAUAAUACUGAUUAGUAAUUCAGCUCUAAUCAGCACUUACUAAUAUUUUUACGGUGUGGCUUUCGCAUCACAGUUGAAAAUCAUGUUGCAGGAGAAGCAUCAAGGGACCUUGGAUGCUGAGGUAUAUAAGGUGCUCUUCUUGGUUAGGAAUUUUCAAUUUCGUGAUGGUAUUCGAAGAAUUAAUGUUUGGUUGCACCUACCUAUAUCAUGUAGCAGUUUCUACCUUGUGUCCGCAUGAGCUUUUUGUACAGGAAACCCCGAAAUCAGUAAUGGUUGUUUCCGAGUGUUUCGGCUUGCUCCUACGUUGGCAGUUAUGUUCUACAACCUGUAAUCGAUGUGGAACUGUUAUAUGUGUUUUCUCUUUGAACUACAGCUGAUCUGUGUAACUUCUAUGUUUCAAGUUUUUUUUUCUCUUUUUGAGAUAAUAUCAUCUUAUAUUCUUCA